UACAGAGGUCUCAAGCGUUGUUCGGAUUCAUUGGGCGUAAAGGGUGCGUAGGCGGCGCGGUAAGUCGGGUGUGAAAUUUCGAGGCUUAACUUCGAAACUGCAUUCGAUACUGCCGUGCUAGAGGACUGGAGAGGAGACUGGAAUUUACGGUGUAGCGGUGAAAUGCGUAGAUAUCGUAAGGAAGACCAGUGGCGAAGGCGGGUCUCUGGACAGUUCCUGACGCUGAGGCACGAGGGCCAGGGGAGCAAACGGG
rnacentral:rRNA from 1 species